UGUCUACGGCCAUACCACCCUGAACGCGCCCGAUCUCGUCUGAGCUCGGAAGCUAAGCAGGGUCGGGCCUGGUUAGUACUUGGAUGGGAGGAAAUACGCUUUCUUAAUAU
rnacentral:rRNA from 1 species